GGGCGAUGCUCCCCGGGUAGGACAAACCGGUCACCUGGGCUGCGACGGCGGCUUAGGGGCAGAAGCGGCGGUCCAGGGCCGCCUGGCGCAGCAGCCUGUCCCAGCCGCGGUCCCUGCAGUCCCUCCCUGGCGGCUGCGCAGCCGUCCCACGACAGGGGCCAUAAACUCUCCAGAGCGGAAAGCCGCACCCUGGUGGCCCGGCCCCGCGCCCAGACCUGGCGGCCGCUGGCACCUGACCCGCUGCAUGGGUCUCCAGGGAGCUCGCUGCCCACCCGGCGCUGCAGGCUCGGCUCCCUCGUACACUCUCUGGCAAGCCCAAGAAAGUCAGGGGCCUAUGUGAGCCAAAGAGGAGAGAAGGUGAUGCCUCAGCCCAGUGUUUCUGCCCCACCUCGCUUGUGGCCUUCGGAACUUGAUUUGCACCGCAGGAAAAUGGGCAAUGAAAACCCCUCCCUAACUGGCUUCUCAGUCCACUCUGACCAGCCCACUGCACAGCGCCCACCCUGCAGCUCCAGAUGAGGCCUCACUCUGUCACCCAGGUUGGGGUGGAGUGGCACAGUCACAGCUCACUAUAACCUCAAGCUCCUGGGCUCAAGUGAUCCUGCCACCUCAGCCUCCUAAGUAGCUGGAACUACAGAUGUGCACUGCCAUGCCAGGCUUGUCUAACAUUUUUAUGUGUUGCUUCAUCCAGUUUGCUAGAGUUUUUGGAGAUUUCUGUCUUCAUUCAUGAGGGAUAAUAGUCUGCACUUUUAUUUUCUUGUGAUACUUUUGUCUGAUUUGUUAUCUGGGUAAUACUGGCCUUGAAAAUGAAUUGAUGUUUUCCUGCUUC